AACAGUCAUCCAAAUGCAUGACGAGUUUUCCUUUCCUCUUUUUUUUCUUCUCUUCUUUUUGCUUUUUUUCCU
rnacentral:ribozyme from 1 species